CCCACUGUCUGUUCUGCAGCUCAGUCAAGUACAGCCGCCCUCGGAAAGUGCAAAAGCAGCCACGAGACAGAUCCAGGCUUUGUUGCUAAUUUCCCAGGGUGAAAAUUGACAAGCCUGCCAGUGCAGUCAGCACAACCCAAUGCAUAUGCUACUGACAAACGCUGGGGACCGUCCCCUCCCACCCAUCCCCAUCACACAGAGAAUGUGACCUCUGCAGGACUGGACUCCCGGAAGGACCAUACCUCCUGGACUUACCCACCAGAAGAACUGCGAAAGAGCUCAGGAGGAGAAGGAUGAAAACUUUAAGGAACAAUGAAGGAGAGAGGUGCCGCUCUGAACCGGAAUAAAUGGAAUGUUUUGCUCACAAUGGAUUUUUAUUAAAUAGGAAUCAAGUUGAUUGGAAUUAAACAAGAAAGUCAGCCUUCAACACAAUGUUUAUAAUGUUAAUCUAAGUUGUUGAUAAAAAGAAAACCUUGAUCUUGCUACUUUAUAUUUGUUUUCACCAUAUGCAUACAUUCAGAAAAGAUUUCUGGAACUCGGUGUAAAGGUUUAUUUUGUCAUCUGUCUUCAUGAAUUCACCAUACGUUAUUAAGAGUCCCACUCUGGCUCAGCAUCUGUAGUCCUGCCUCAGAGCCUCCCACUUAAUCAGUCCUUCAUAACUGCUUGCUACUGGAUGGGCUAAAUGGAAAAAAAAUAUAAAACAUGAUUGGAAAGAUGUGAAAAACAGUUGAUCAAAAUGAAAUCAUUAUUGCUUAAAACCACUAGCUCUCUGAGGCAAUAAAGAUGGAAAACAA